rnacentral:tRNA from 1 species
AAGCGGUGGAUUGUAGCUCCAUAAACAGAGGUUUGAGUCCUCUUCAUAC